GACGAACGCUGGCGGCGUGCUUAACACAUGCAAGUCGAACGAGUGGCGAACGGGUGAGUAACGCGUAUCAACCUGCCCUUCAGAGGGGGAUAACUACUGGAAACGGUAGCUAAUACCGCAUACCAUCAGAUGUGCCCAGAUGGGAUUAGCUAGUAGGUGGGGUAACGGCUCACCUAGGCGACGAUCCCUAGCUGGUCUGAGAGGAUGACCAGCCACACUGGAACUGAGACACGGUCCAGACUCCUACGGGAGGCAGCAGUGGGGAAUAUUGCACAAUGGGCGCAAGCCUGAUGCAGCCAUGCCGCGUGAAUGAAGAAGGCCUUCGGGUUGUAAAGUUCUUUCGGUGACGAGGCGUUAAUCACAGAAGAAGCACCGGCUAACUCCGUGCCAGCAGCCGCGGUAAUUC
rnacentral:rRNA from 1 species